UCAUUAGAAACGUGCAGAUGAAUGUCUGAAAACAGUGAAUAACCGGCUGUUGGUUUAUCCAAGAAUCGACACGAUACAGAGGGCCCACAUUCCAAAAUGGGAAGCAGGACUGGAGUGUCUCCCAGUCUUGCGUCCGUCAAGACCCUUUGUAGAAGAGAAGUCCAAACACUGCAGCCUCCCUGGUCCAGUGGUGAACAUUCAGAGCAGUGAACACACAGGAGCAGGUGCGUCCACUUUAUAUAUUGACUAUAGUGAUUCUCUGAUGUGCUGUAAAACCUUGUCUCAGGACACAAGGGAGGCCACAACAAGGCUGCCUCACUUCCCUUUGGACAAGGCUUGCAAUGCUCCAAGAUAGGACUUUUUGAAAGAGUAAAAACUUUGGAGUUCAGGUGUUCCAGGCCUCUACAGUGUGAAGCUGAGCCUAUUCCUGAGGAGAGCCCUUAUCCCACAAUCAAGACCCGCCUCCCUCCAUCAUUUCCAAAAGCACAGAGCACAGCAGCCGCAACACACAGGUUUGGCUUGGGAUGUUCUCAUAUUCUGUUGUCAGUCCUGAGUUUGUAAUUGACUUGUUUUUUGUAGAACCUGUCUGUAGAAGUUCCCAAAAAUACGAGUCCAAUUACUUUUACAAUUAAACUGGGCCAUAUCAAACCGAC
rnacentral:lncRNA from 1 species